rnacentral:rRNA from 1 species
CCUUGACAUCCAGAGAAUUUAGCAGAGAUGCUUUAGUGCCUUCGGGAACUCUGAGACAGGUGCUGCAUGGCUGUCGUCAGCUCGUGUUGUGAAAUGUUGGGUUAAGUCCGCAACGAGCGCAACCCUUAUCCUUUGUUGCCAGCACGUAAUGGUGGGAACUCAAAGGAGACUGCCGGUGAUAAACCGGAGGAAGGUGGGGAUGACGUCAAGUCAUCAUGGCCCUUACGAGUAGGGCUACACACGUGCUACAAUGGCGUAUACAAAGAGAAGCGACCUCGCGAGAGCAAGCGGACCUCAUAAAGUGCGUCGUAGUCCGGAUUGGAGUCUGCAACUCGACUCCAUGAAGUCGGAAUCGCUAGUAAUCGUAAAUCAGAAUGUUACGGUGAAUACGUUCCCGGGCCUUGUACACACCGCCCGUCACACCAUGGGAGUGGGUUGCAAAAGAAGUAGAUAGCUUAACCUUCGGGAGGGCGUUUACCACUUUGUGAUUCAUGACUGGGGUGAAGUCGUAACAAGGUAAGCGUAGUGCU